UUCCAGUCUUAUGGAUUAAUCAACUUAUUCAUUCAUUUAUCCAUUCUUUCAUUCUUUUUAUUUUAUUUUUUAUUUUUAUGGGUACACAGUAGGUGUAUAUAUUUAUGGAACAUGAGAUGUUUUCAUACAGGCAUACAAUGCAUAAUAAUCACAUCAUGGAAGAUGGGGUAUUCAUCCCCUCAAGCAUUUUUGCUUUGUGUUACAAAAAAUUCAACUAUGCUCAUUUAGUUAUUUUUAAACGUAGCAUUAAAUUAUUAUUGACUAUAGUCACCCUGUUGUGCUAUCAAAUACUAGAUCUUAUUCAUUUAUUCUAACUAUUUCUUGGUACCAGUUAACCACCCCCACUUCUCCCUCAACCCCCCACUACCUUUCGCAUCCUCUGGUAAUGACCUGUCUACUCUCUUACUCUCUAUCUCCAUGGGUUCAAUUGUUUUGAUUUUUCGAUCCCACAAGUAAGUGGAAACGUGAUGUUUGUCUUUCUGUACCUGGCUUAUUUCACUUAACAUAAUGACAUCCAAUUACAUCCAUGUGGUUGCAAAUGACUGAAUCUUGUUCUUUUUAUGGCUGAAUUGUAUUUCAUUGUGUAUAAGUACCACAUUUUCUUUACCAUUCAUCUGUUGAAGGACAUGCAGUUUGCUUCCACAUCAUAGCUGUUGUAAACAGAGCUGCAACAGCUAAUUUCCUUUCUUUGGGGUAUAUACCCUGCAGUGGGAUGGCUGGCUCAUAUGGUAGCUCUAUUUUUAGGUUUUCUGACAAACCUCCAAACUGUUCUCCGUAGUGCUUGUAUUAAUUUAUUAAUUUACAUUACCACCAACAGUGUACGAGGGUUCUCUUUUGCUUGUGGCUGAGUUGACACUCGAACUACAAGACCCAGUCCUUCUCACUCUUCCCUCCCCUUUCCAAAGGCAGAGGAGCCUCACCCAGUGGAUAUCACUACCUCAGACCCCUGGGGACUGCUACUAGACUACCUCUGAUGUUCCCUUAAGGCUUAAAGGCUCUUCAGUCAGCUUGUAGUGAAUAUUACCUGGCUAGGACUCACCCUUCAGGGGAGUGAGCUCCUCUCUGGCAAUGGGAAGUACCAGAAAUGUCAUCCACAAGUCAAGUCCUGCAACUGGGGUCCCUAAGAGCCCACUUGGUACUCUAUUCCAUUGUGGCUGAGCUGAUACUUAAAGUGAAAAGCAAAGUUUCCUUUACUUUUCUGUUCACUUUUCUCAAGCAGGAGUCUCACCCUAAUCAGCUACAACAAUUGGAAAUGUGCCGAGUCUCUCCUAAGUCCAGCCAGUCUCAGCAUCUCACCUAAGACCUUUGAUGUAGUACCUGGAUAUCCCUGUUGGUUAUUCACAGCUCAGGGUCCCUUCAGGCAGCAAGUGAUGAAUCCUUCCAGGAAUGAGUCCUUCUCUUCAAGGCAAUGAAUUCCCUUCUUGCCUAGGGUGUGUCCAGAAAUGUCCAGGAGCUAGGGCCUGAAAUGAGGGUCUCACAACUCUGACCGGUGCUCUAUUCUGCUGUGGCUGAGCUGGUAUCCAAGAUGCAAGACAAAGUCUUCCCCACUAUUCCAUCUCCUCUCCUCAAGCAGAAGGAAGGAGUCUCUUUUACAGCCAGGAUUUUUGCAGCCUGGGCUUCGGGGAUGGGUGAGGCCAGCACUCCCUUAGCUGCCCCAGCUGGUGUCGCAGUAGGUCGCAUGCAACCACAGUCUACUGUCUCUUGGUCCAGUUCAGCCUAUGACUCACCUUGGUGUUGCAGUCCUUGAGGCCUAAAUUGCGUUUCAAAUUUAUUUGAAGCCCCAAAGCACUUUUGCCCACAGUGGUGAGGCUUGUAGGAACUCAAGUUCCAACCGCUGGGAUCAGCAAUUCCCCUCUGGCUCCGGCUGGUUUAAAUGCUGUCUUUGCGGGAGGGUGCCAGCUGAGUUUGGUCCGGCUCUGCUUUCAGCUAUAACAAGGGCAGCACUGAGUUCAAUGCCUCACAGUUGCUGGCUCUCCCUCUCCCCAGGGUGCAGAAAAGCUCUCUGCACCACAUUGCCACUGCCAAGGAAGGGGGGAGGGAUGGCAUAGGCAAUUCAAGUCUGUUUUUUCUACUUCUUCGGUGCCUCUUUCAGCGAUAUGAAUUUAAAACCAGGUACUAUGAGUGCUCACCUGAUUUUUGGUUCUCAUGAAAGUGUUUUGUUGUGUGUGGAUAUUUGUUAAAUUGGUGUCCUUGCGGAGGUAGGUUGGGGGAUGAUCGGUGGGGCCUUCUAUUUCUUCACCUUGCUCCAACCCCCUUUCAUUCUUUUAUUAAAAGUAUUAAGUGCUCAGCAGGUAAGAUGUAAGCAUUAAUCUAGGCACUAUAGAAACAGUUAUAAACAAUAUGAAGUACUUCCCACACUACUACCACUCCAUCUCAUGGAGUUUACGUUCUAAUAAAGAAGAAAGAUAAGUAGAUAGACAAAUUAAUGUGUUAGUAGAGUUCGGUUUUAUGAAGAAAAUAACAGCACGGCUAGAAAGUGAGUGAGGUGAUACUAUAGAAAAUGUGGCCAGCUGUGGUCUUUCUAAGAAGGCAAGACUUUAACAAAGACUUGGAAGACAUAAAGGAAUAAGCCACAAAAUAUCUCAGAGAAGGGUGUUCUGGCUACAAGGAGUGACAAAUGCAAAGGUCCUGAAACAAGAACAUGAAGGAUGUGUUAGAUUUUUUUAAAAGGACAAUAUUUUAUGAUUUGAGUAAUAUUUUACCUAUAGAAUCUUAAAUUUUUAACACAGGAUUGAUGCACUACACACCAGAAUAUACUAACAGAGCACCUGCUCUGCCAAUGCCAGGCUGAUUGCUCUGGAGACACAGACUGUUUCAAGAAACUGAGUGAGUAGGCUCUGGAAAUUGGAAGUGAUCUUAGUAUUUAAGUUCAGUCACUCAACUACAAUCUCUGAAACUGGGGGAAAUAUGUUCUGUCUGCAUCACGUAAUCAAAGUUUAAUUUUUUUAAGGAACAAUAGGAAUGUCACUUGCAAAACAGAAAUGGAGGUUUAUCUUUCAGAGACUAAAAUAUUUAAGUAGUCAUAAAUCAACUGCUUAUUUCUCUACUUAGUGAUUUACUGCCUUAUCAAAGGCAUCUCCUUGUUAGCUUUUUAUGAGGAUUAUCGUCUAAAGCCAGCUUCCAAAAUUAGAGGCUAAUAAAUGAUUAGUUACAUGUCUAGAUGUGCCACAGCUGAUGUAGGAGUAAUAAAAAAUCCUCCCCCAUUCCCCCAUAAUUCAGCGGGUGAUUAGUCUGUGUCCACUGGCACAAUCUUGUAAAGUUCUGGAAAUCAUUCUGUUAAUACGUUCAAUACAGACAGCUUGGGGAAAAGCCUCUUCAAAGUGGCUUUUAAGAAAUUUAGUAAUCUAAUUUGGCUGUUAAUACUAAUCAUAUUUUGAAGUCUCAAACGUCUGCCUCCUUCUGUCAUCUGUUUGUAGACAGAGGCAGAUAUUGAGGUUUUGAUAUUUAUUUAUAAUUUUGAAAAUCAUGGUUUUCUCUAGUGUGCCGUUAGAUUUCACCCAUCUGGAUUCAGAUUCCACUAAUUUUGGAAGUCCACAUAAUGCUGACAGUAUCAUUAAAAAAAGUGAUGUCUUUAAGGUAAAUCUUUUUUUCUGGAAAAUUUUUAAGUACUUUAUGCAAAACUAUUAGCAAGGGGUGGAGAUAUUUUAUAUUGCAUUACAGAGCAAAAAUGUUUAUGUACCUCAGAAUUAUCCUUUCCAGCCCACUUUAGACAUGUUGGUAUGUCCUGUGUUGGAAGACAUUUAGAAAAUAAGUAGGUUAGAGAGACAGACAGACAGACAGACAGACAGACAGAAACUGUUGAACACUCAUAGCAUGAAUACUAUAGAUCACUAGGACCUCAGGCCUCUUUCUCAAGUUUGCAAGUCUAGAAAUUUCAUAUGUUCAAUUUUCUCAGGCUUGAUCAGCUUCCUGGAACCUGACUCAUUCUAACAAUCUCACACAAGAAUAUUUACAGAAAGUUUACAUUUGCAGCCACUUAAAAAAUUCAUUAGAAGAAAUCUCUCAGAGCAAGAUCUAAGGCCAAUCACCUUCCUUCUCAUGGGAGGAAAUAUUCAGUUGUAAUGUUUAGUUGGUAGAGAGAGAAUUCAAACCAGAGAAGUUGGUAUUCUGUAGCAGAUGUCACUAUUGAUAUUAGAAAGAAUGGAAAACAGAGCUGCUGCUAAAGUAAGCAAGCUGACAGCUGAGGCAGAAGUGUAUCAACAGCAGUAUGUUCACGGGAUCACCACAUUGACGAUUCAGCCCAGUUAUCUGGCAGUGCAUAAACUCAGUGCUGUUGGUACAAUCACAGAAGAUCAACCAGAGGUAGAAUAAUUAUUGUUAAUCUAAUUCAUAUGGGUGUAUAUGCUGGUUAGUAGUGUUCUUCAAGAAAUUUUUCUGGCUUUCCAGUUUCCUGGUACAUAGUAGGACUGCAUUUCCCUACCUCGCUGAUAUUAGAUGUGAAUUCAUUGCUUUCGCCAAAAAAAAAAAAAAAAAAAAAAAGUGGAUAGAAGUAAAAUGUGUCACUUCCAGGCAGAAGCUCUAAGAGGCAGUGUGUUAUUUGCUACAUCUUUUGUUACGGUUAUCAUGGAAACACAGGUUGAGAUGACUGUAAUAAGCAAAGCCCUAUGUCAGUCUUUGUUAGACAUAUAUGUGAGAAAGAAAUAAGUGAUUGUUGGAUUAAGCCAUUGAGACAGUGAGGUUUUUCCUACUGAAACACAAUCCAGUCUAUGCUUCCUGUUGUAGUAUUCAACCCAAUAUUUAAAAGUAUUUAUUUUAAAUUGAGGCACCACAUUUUUGGAAUCAAGAUUCACUGACAAGCUAAUUAAUACAUACUUGGAAGUUGACUUGAUAUUUAUAUAUCUAGAAAAAAAGGGAAUUAGAGAGUGUUAUAAAUGGAAAAGCAUGAUGAACAAUUACUGCAAUGUAAUAGAGCAUUUUCUCUGGCGAUUGCAUUAGACCUACUUGCCAAGCACCAUAGCUCAUUCACUGAUUCAUUUACUUCUUCAUUCACUCCACAGAUAUUUAUCAAAUGCUGAUUAUAUGACAAGACCUACACUGGAUCCUUGGGAUACAACCAUAAGAUAAUUGUGACAGUCCCAAUCCUUACAAAGGUACCAUCUUAGUCUCUUUAUUCCUAUUUUUUAGAUCCUGUGAUGAUUGCAUACUUUCUGCCAAUGCAUGUUCUUUUUCCAUAACUGCUUAGACUACCACUUUUCUUAGUUUUGUUCUUGUUCUAAAUAUAUGUUUUAGAUCAAUCCCUCUCAAAUGAUUAGGUUUUCCCCUAAUUUAUCACAGAAUGACACUUUUGUAAAAUACCAAAAACAAUUACUAGAAAAAUAUAUUGUGCAAUUGGAUAUGAAAGCAAUAAGCUAUAAGCUAUAAAAGCUAUAAAAGUUUCUAAAUGGUUACUCACGAGUUCUAUAUUUAUUUUUUUCCAGACAGGCAAAAAGUUCAUAGACCAUCAUUUGUCUAUGGACCACACUUUGAACACAACUGCUCUGGACAAGCAGGCCUUGGAUUUCUACGUGUUUGUGUCUUAGAUCUGUUAAACUCAGCUGACCCACCACACCCAAGCAGAACUUCAAAAGAAGCUGUGAAAAGCGUGCUUGUUCUAGCUGGAAGAUCAUCCUGAGUCCCUCCCUGUUUAUUCUUGAAAUGUUUGGGCCUCCUUUCAUCUCCAGUUCUCAGAUUUGGGCACAAUAACCGAGCUCUGAUGUCUACAUCUAACCCUGUGGAUCCCAGGCUGUCAAUGAAAUGUUUAUUUCAUGCGGAUUCCGUGGCUCUGCUGACUCAGCUUAUUUUGCAGUCUCUAUUACCCUAUUGCGAAAUCUCCCUGUCUAUGACUAGCCUCGAAAUCCCAAUUUCCAGAGGACAAGGAUCUGGACAUCCACUGCCCCUCUUCUUGCAGCACAGCCAGCCCUGGAAGGACCCUCUAACUUUAGCUACACUUGAAACAGAAAUUUUACAUGACUCACCAUAUGAUAGCAUUGAUGCUCUCCUGUAAUUCAAAUUCAACCUUCGUGUUUCACUUUCAAACCUGCUUCAUCAAAGUGACAUAUUCAAUAGAACAGAAGAGUGGCCUUUUCUGAGAUUUUUAUUAGGGGAAAAGGAUGUACAGUGAAUUACACCUCACACCUCACACCUCAAAGAAAACUUCCAAAAUAUGUUUUUUACCUAUCUUCUUUCCCCAGAUUCCCACAUCAUACAACAGUAGCUUUAUCUCUGUCUCUUUCUCUCUCUCUCUCUGUCUUUCUCUCUCUCUGAAUCGCUAGCUUAUUGUUGCUCUCUAAGUUCCAUGAAGCUGUAAAAAAAAAAAGAAUAAGAUACUUAUGAACUAAUGUGCAGCAAUUUCCCAGACAUAUUGUUAAAUGACCAAAAGCACGGUGCAGAAGAAUACAUAUAGUAUGCCACCUUUUGUGUAAAAAAGAUUAGGAAGUAAGAAAUCAGGCAUAUCUUUACAAAAAGAAAGAGGAAAAGUGAAAACUAUGAAGUUUUCAGGGGAAGCGUAUGGAACAUAUAUGCAAAGUGUGACACUUCCCUGACAAUUCCUGUUUUUACGGUUUGACAUGAAGUUAUCUUAAUAUUCUACAUACUGAAAGAAUAAACAUAAUUUGAAAAAGGAUAAGAAAGGAAAGAAAAUGAAAGCAAACGCAAACAUGAACCCAAUGUUAUUUCUAAAGAAAAAUGUAGCAUAUUACAGGGACGGUGUGGCAAUGAAAGGACAACCCUGAGUAGCUUAUGAUCACAGUAUUUGACUAUAAACCCUUAGCUUUGGGCAAGUUACAUGUACAGGGUAGAGAACACCAGACAAAUCCUGAAGGGUUUCAGAGGUAUGGGCAAAGCAAUUCUGAAAUUAUUUUAGAUCUAUUAUAAGAGUAAACAAAUUAGUAAAUGUAUCGAAGUUGUUGGGAGCUACUUGUUUUCUUGCUGUGGAAAAGGGGGCUAAUAAACAUGAAACAGAGAAAGCAAGCACUUAGUGAGGCUGGAUCAGAAUCAGUGGUAUCAGCAUGGACUCAAGAUUUCUAAAUAGAUACAUAUAUACACACACACACGUAUACAUUUAUAUGCAUGUAUAUAUGUGUACAUGUAUAUGUAUCUAAUUUAUGUGUAUAUAAAAAUACAUGUAGUAAGUAUAUAUUUAGGUGUUUAUAUGUCUAUAUACCUGUAUAUAUUUCUUAUCUCAGACCACAAAAAGACCUAGAGGCAGAAAUACCACAGUAGCAUUGAACACACUUGGUGCCCAGAUUUUAGCCCCUAAUAUCAGUCCCCACUAAAGAGAACAAGGGGUCUCGUUUUCUUGCUGCUGGUAUUCACUCAACUGCUCAAACUAAAACUUUGUCAUUCGUUUUUAAAAAUUAAUAUUACUAUUAAUCUUUAAAGAUUACUAAGUGUUCUCCAAAUUAUUUUGCAUGGUAUACAAGGACCCUCAAACUUUUAAACUUUUAAAUCAAAUUAAAUUUCUAGAGUACUUUAGCAAACGACUUGCUAAAAUCUCUAAAGAGCCCUAUUUUAUAAUUCAAACAGGAAUAAGCUGUUAAUUUGGGCUUAUUGGGUUUUACAAUACCAAAAAUGUCAAUAUGCUUAGCGACAGACUACUCUAUUAUAUCUAUGUCAUUGAAGAAACUAUUUAGGAAAUGAUUUUAACUUGCAAAUCGAGUAGUCUUUAUGAAAAAAAUACAUCUCUUUUGCUUCAGUUGGCUUUUUCUAGAUGAGGUAGAAGUUAUUGAGGAAGAUCUCUAAGCUAUAGGUUAAUUCCAAGGUUUAUCAUUAAUGCUUAUGCUGACCUUUUUGAGAAUAACUAAGUGAAUUUUUUUAAAAUCCGAGAAAGUUGACCAUAAAAGGAUUCCAGGUAUAAACAUUUUUCCAUUCCAGGUGACCUCCUGUUUUUCAUUCUAUUUCAUUUGAUUUAACUUUUUGGCACAAAACUUACAGGUUCUUUGUCAACAAUACUUAACAGACUCAGUAAAUUAGUAGAUUUUGAAGAGUGGUUUAAUCAUAAAGGAAAGAAAGUACAUGGUCCUAACAUCCUCUCUUGUAAUGGGGUAGGAUCAUGGAUUUCUUCUUGGGAAUCAGGCAGGAGCACUGCAAACUCCCAUGGACUAGCAAGUGACUCACCCUAAGGUCACUGAAGAAAGGAGUGGCCAAGGUCCAAGGGUGGGAAAAAAACCUUCUAAUUAAUUAAACUUAUACUUGACCUAGUGUGACUAGCAUUGGAGCAUUACCUGCUUCAGCGGUUUUACAAGGCUGUUGGGAAGAUGGGGCUGUUUUGUUUUUUAUUUUGUUUUGUUUGUUUACAACAGUGCCCCCCAAAGUGCCUCUUUAUUCCUAAGGACUUUAAUCACAAUUUGAAAACCACUCAUCUAUUCAGCCUCUUGGUUUUAUUUAUUGGGAACUAAGAACCAGAUACUGUGGACUUCCAGUAUGAGACAAAGGUGUUAUUUAAGCAAGUAAUGAAACAAAAAUACUUGUUGAAUACUCUCUUUCAACACUUCAAAGAAGCCAGGAAGGGAGAAGAAAGAGUUUUGGAGGGGAAUCACCACCACACCUCUCUGCUGAGUGGGUUGGGGCAUUCAACUCUAAAGCAGAGGCAAAGGAGCCCCGGGCAAGCCUGGCCAUCCCCCUAGGCUCGAUUUGCACCCAUAGGAGACUUUAGCCAUAGGGGAACUGUCAGUUCUGAAUUCUGUAGGGUGGUCUUGUCCAUCAGAUGGGACCAGUACAACCUGAGCACCCCUUGGUCUGCUAGACUCUCCUGGGGCCACAGCCUGGCCACACAUAGUUGCAGGGCAGCCUUUGGUGCCCUGAGGGCCCACACCAUAGCUUUUGCAAUGGUGGAUCACGCCUGACAGAUGGAGAGCUCCAGUGGGCAGUGCCUAUGGACACACACCAGUCCACACAUUCCCUUCCAAUACUGCGGCUUCCUCUGGGCCCCUGGCAACUCCUCACAUUGUUUUGCUGGCAUGUGGCUGCACAGGGCAGGUUUUGCUUUUGUUGCCUCACCAGCAUGCAGGAGUGCAGUCAGCCCCUCUGCCGCCUGCUGAUUGCUAUUGCAGAUGGAGCAUUGAUGGGCACAGAGCAAACCAGCCCUCCCCCUGCAAGCACCCUGCCUUAUGCAAACACUAUACAGAGAAAAGUGGAUCCACCCCUGCCCUGAGGGACCACUCCUGCUUGUAGGGCACAAAGAAGGCACCCAGACCAGUGCCUGCCAACAUCUUGCUCCCAAGCCAACACCACCUUGAGUGCGACUGCACAGUCGCAGGCAACACACACCCCUCUAGCUGCAUUGCCUCCACCACUGCGAUGAAUGCUCACAGGGAGGCAGGACCCCCAGCACCCACUAGCACUCUGCCACAGCUGCUGCUACCAAUGCUGCUGAAAUGCAGACAAGAAGGAUCCCACUGUCACUACACCACGAAACAUUUUGGCUGACAUCACCCAUCAGAGUGCAGUAAACAGUGGUCCAGGAGCACCUCAGUGCCCCCAGGAUAGCAGAUUCCUAAUCUCAAGGAGACAGAGAACAAAGUGGGGCCCAACACAAGUCCUCCAAAGUUAGAGAACUAAGCCCAGGAGUUGAGAGCUGAGGACCAAAUCUCUAAAAUCUUCCAGAAAUGAAGCCAGUUAGCUGACUGCACCUUAUACCACAAUCAAAUCCUCAAGGUCAUUAAAUAGGAUAAAAGAAAAAACACUCAUCCAAAGGUAAGCAUCCUCAAAGACUGAAGGAAGAUAAGCCCAGAAGAUGAGAAACAAUCAGUACAAGAACCCUGAUAACGCACAAAGCCAGAGUACCUUUUUACCUCCAAAAACACACAUCACCUCUCCAGCAAGGUUCUGAACUGGCUGAGAUGGCUGAAAUGACAGAAAUGUAAUUCAGAAUAUGGAUAGAAAUGAUUGAGCUAUAGGAAUAAGGUGAAAUCUAAUGCAAGGAAGCUAAAAAAUCAUAAACAAUGCAGGAACUUACAGACAAAAUAGUCAGUAUAGAAAAGAACCUAACCAACCUAAUAGAGCUAAAAAAUACACUGCAAGAAAUUUUACAAUGCAACCACAACUAUUAGUAGCAGAUUAGGCCAAGUGGAGGAAAGAAUCUCAGAGCUUGAAGACUGUCUUUCUGAAAUAAGACUGUAAUAAAGAAAUAGAGAAAAAAGAAUAAAAAGAAAUAAACAAAAUCCCUGAGAGAUGUGGGAUUACAUAAAGAAGAAAUCUAUGACUCCUGGGUGUCCCUAAAAGAGAUGGGGAGAAGGGAACUAUAUAAUCUAUUCUCAUGCUGCAAAUAAAACAUGUCUGAGACUGGGUAAUUUAUAAAGGGAAGAGGUUUAAUGGACUCACAGUUCAGCAUGACUGGGAGGAUUCACAAUCAUGGUAGAAGGUAAAGGAAAAGCAAAGGGAAGUCUUA
rnacentral:lncRNA from 10 species